CCUACGGGAGGCAGCAGUGAGGAAUAUUGGUCAAUGGACGAGAGUCUGAACCAGCCAAGUAGCGUGAAGGAUGACUGCCCUAUGUGUUGUACACUUCUUUUAUAUGGGCAUAAAAUGUUCCACGUGUGGGCUUUUGUAUGUACCCUAUGAAUAAGGAUCGGCUAACUCCGUGCCAGCAGCCUCGGUAAUACGGAGGAUCCGAGCGUUAUCCGGAUUUAUUGGGUUUAAAGGGAUGGUAGGGGGAUUGUUAAGGCAGGUGUGAAAGUUUGCGGAUCAACCGGAAAAUUGCAGUUGAAACUGGCAGGCUUGAGUACAGUAGAGGUAGGCGGAAUUCGUGGUGUAGCGGGGAAAUGCUUAGAUAUCACGAAGAACCCCGAUUGCGAAGGCAGCUUACUAAACUGUGACUGACAUUGAGGCUCGAAAGUGUGGGUAUCAAACAGGAUUAGAUACCCGGGUAGUC
rnacentral:rRNA from 1 species